rnacentral:rRNA from 1 species
AUUGAACGCUGGCGGAAUGCUUUACACAUGCAAGUCGAACGGCAGCACGGGGGCAACCCUGGUGGCGAGUGGCGAACGGGUGAGUAAUACAUCGGAACGUGCCCAGUCGUGGGGGAUAACGUAGCGAAAGUUACGCUAAUACCGCAUACGAUCUACGGAUGAAAGCGGGGGACCGUAAGGCCUCGCGCGAUUGGAGCGGCCGAUGUCAGAUUAGGUAGGUGGUGAGGUAAAGGCUCACCAAGCCGACGAUCUGUAGCUGGUCUGAGAGAACGACCAGCCACACUGGGACUGAGAACCGGCCCAGACUCCUACGGGAGGCGGCAGUGGGGAAUUUUGGAAAAUGGGCGCAAGCCUGAUCCAGCCAUUCCGCGUGCAGGACGAAGUCCUUCGGGUUGUAAACUGCCUUUGUACGGAACGAAAAGGCUCUGGUUAAUACCUGGGGCUCAUGACGGUACCGUAAGAAUAAGCACCGGCUAACUACGUGCCAGCAGCCGCCGUAA